AUUGAACGCUGGCGGCAGGCUUAACACAUGCAAGUCGAGCGGGGUGAUGGUGCUUGCACUAUCACUUAGCGGCGGACGGGUGAGUAAUGCUUAGGAAUCUGCCUAUUAGUGGGGGACAAGAUCUCGAAAGGGAUGCUAAUACCGCAUACGUCCUACGGGAGAAAGCAGGGGAUCACUUGUGACCUCGACCUAAUAGAGGAGCCUAAGUCGGAUUAGCUAGUUGGUGGGGUAAAGGCCUACCAAGGCGACGAUCUGUAGCGGGUCUGAGAGGAUGAUCCGCCACACUGGGACUGAGACACGGCCCAGACUCCUACGGGAGGCAGCAGUGGGGAAUAUUGGACAAUGGGGGGAACCCUGAUCCAGCCAUGCCGCGUGUGUGAAGAAGGCCUUAUGGUUGUAAAGCACUUUAAGCGAGGAGGAGGCUCUUUUGGUUAAUACCCAAGAUGAGUGGACGUUACUCGCAGAAUAAGCACCGGCUAACUCUGUGCCAGCAGCCGCGGUAA
rnacentral:rRNA from 1 species